UUUUUAUGAACGAUAUCAGACAUUUUGCUCUUUCCGUUUUAUGGUAGACAGUUGUCACCUUUCUAUUAUUAGGUACUUGUAAUCGAUAAACAAUCACUGCCAUAAUAUCACCUUAUAGACCAGAUAUUAUUACUACAUAGUGCCAACGUGACAAUGUGUCAAUAGUGAAUCUUAAUAACGUUCACGUGUAGUAAAUUAAAGUAGCGAGGUAUAGGUAACAAUCUAUAAUAGGUACUAUGUACAAUGAGUCACUGCAUUAUUUUAAUAACGAAUGAAGCCUAACAAUAUUAUAUUAUUAUUGAUCUU